GGGGAUAUAGCUCAGUUGGUAGAGUGCUUGCCUUGCAUGCACAAAGCCCUGGGUUCAAUCCCCAGUAUCCCAG
rnacentral:tRNA from 2 species